rnacentral:misc_RNA from 1 species
UUUCCGUAGGUGAACCUGCGGAAGGAUCAUUACAGUGUUCCCUGCCCUUCGGGGUAGGAUCGCCACCCUUGAUUAUUUAUGAGUGUUGCUUUGGCGGGCCUCGCGGCCUGGCCGCGCCCCGGCUUCGGCGGGGGAGCGCCCGCCAGAGGAUUCUACAAACCUGAUUAUUAGUGUCGUCUGAGUACUAUAUAAUAGUUAAAACUUUCAACAACGGAUCUCUUGGUUCUG